AUUGAACGCUGGCGGCAUGCCUUACACAUGCAAGUCGAACGGCAGCAUGGAGAGCUUGCUCUCUGAUGGCGAGUGGCGAACGGGUGAGUAAUGCAUCGGAACGUACCGUGUAAUGGGGGAUAACGUAGCGAAAGUUACGCUAAUACCGCAUACGACCUGAGGGUGAAAGCAGGGGAUCGCAAGACCUUGCGCUAUACGAGCGGCCGAUGUCAGAUUAGCUAGUUGGUGAGGUAAAGGCUCACCAAGGCGACGAUCUGUAGCGGGUCUGAGAGGAUGAUCCGCCACACUGGGAGUGAGACACGGCCCAGACUCCUACGGGUGGAAGCAGUGGGGAAUUUUGGACAAUGGGGGCAACCCUGAUCCAGCCAUGCCGCGUGAGUGAAGAAGGCCUUCGGGUUGUAAAGCUCUUUCGGCAGGGAAGAAAUCGCACAGGCUAAUACUCUGUGUGGAUGACGGUACCGGCAUAAGAAGCACCGGCUAACUACGUGCCAGCAGCAGCCGCGG
rnacentral:rRNA from 1 species